AUAAAACCCUAAGUUAUAUUUUCUCUCCUCACAUCUCCACUGACUCCCCCUCUUCUUCUCCCGAUUUCCUCUCCUUCUCAUCUAUUGCGACGCCGAGCCACCGCCGACCCUCGCCCUUCUUCUCCACCGUGACUUCUCUCCCUCUCGUCCCGAUCCCCUUCCUUUCCCUCUCCCGCUCGCAGCGUGGAGCGCCCUCUCCUCUCCCGAUCUUUGACAUCGCUGGCCGACGCGGGGGGGGCCACUCCGAUCGUCGCCACCAUUGCCCGAACCCCCUCCCUCUUUUCCGAUCUCUCUGUGCGCCGCUGCCGACCAUCACGGAACCAUGACCGGUCGUCGUUGCCUGAAGCCACCCCAAUCCGCCGAACACUACCACCCCUCUUCCGAUCUCAUCGUGGGCCGAUCUCGAGGUGUCGUCGGUGCCGGAAAAGGGAAUUGAUGCACAAAGGGUUAGAGCUACCCUCCCUCUGACUUGAGGACCGAAUCAGAGCAGUGUUUCCUUCCUCCUCUUUGUCGUGAGACAUCGUGAUGCCAUUGAUUGUCGACACCAGUGGAGGCAUACCCGACAGAUGUUACUCUUCUGGCUAUGUGAAGUCCAAGGUUACAACGUGUGCAACCGUGCUGAGUUCCCGACCACCACAUUAAAAGGAGCCAAGGAUUGAAUUGGAGAACUGGAUUUGGAGAUCAGCAACUUCCCCUUGCCCUGCUACAAUUUUCGACAGCAAACGCUUCUCCGGCUAAGUUAACAGUGAAGCAUUCGAAUUUUGGAUAAGUUCUGUUUCUGAUCUUUAGGGCUACAUGAACCUAAUUGUUUCACAAGGUGGAAUAGGAUCUGGAUUAAUCCUUGGAUACAAUGGAUUGAUUGAUAGGGUUGGGUAUUAAUAGAGCUAAGCCUUGCUGGGUUGUAGGCAAUUGAUCCUUAUCUUGGUAUCAGGGUAAGUUUCCAACCAUAUGUUUUGUCCCUUUAAUUUAUAUCGUAGAUGAUCUAUAUUGUUAAAGGAUCCUAUAGGUUAUUGAUUAAUGUCUUUCUCGGAUUAAAAUGGGGAAAUGUGAAGGAAGUGUUAGAUCAUUUAAAUGGAAUUAAAAUAAGGAUUUCCUAUUCAAAUUAGUAUUUGGACUAACUAUGUGGCUUAUGAUAGAACUUAGCAGUACUAUAUAUAUUCUGUGUUGCAGAAUACUAGUCGGAGACAUAUCCUGACGUGGAGAUAAUUCAAGACGAUCUACAUUUAGGGCGGGUUGAAGUCGCUUGGAGUAUCCUGUCUACCGAUCCUACGUCACAUCCGAAGACUGUUUCUGGUUUCAUUUAUGUUUUAUCUGGUUUAUGUAUUUGGUGGAUUUAGCAUUGUAUAUUCCGAUUUUGUUUCUGGAGUGUUGCUACAUGGUAUCGGAUAUUAUUUUGUUGUUUUGUGUAAGCUUAGCCGGCUAGCAGUCUUUGUUGUUUUGGUUUGUAUGAGAUUUCUUUUGUUUUGUUUUUCCGCUGUGUGUUUUUAGUACAGCCGAGUGGGUUGUUUAAUAUAUAUAAUUACAUGGUUGUGAUAUUUUGUU